rnacentral:rRNA from 1 species
AGAGUUUGAUCAUGGCUCAGAUUGAACGCUGGCGGCAGGCCUAACACAUGCAAGUCGAACGGUAACAGGAAGCAGCUUGCUGCUUCGCUGACGAGUGGCGGACGGGUGAGUAAUGUCUGGGAAACUGCCUGAUGGAGGGGGAUAACUACUGGAAACGGUGGCUAAUACCGCAUAACGUCGCAAGACCAAAGAGGGGGACCUUCGGGCCUCUUGCCAUCAGAUGUGCCCAGAUGGGAUUAGCUUGUUGGUGAGGUAACGGCUCACCAAGGCGACGAUCCCUAGCUGGUCUGAGAGGAUGACCAGCCACACUGGAACUGAGACACGGUCCAGACUCCUACGGGAGGCAGCAGUGGGGAAUAUUGCACAAUGGGCGCAAGCCUGAUGCAGCCAUGCCGCGUGUAUGAAGAAGGCCUUCGGGUUGUAAAGUACUUUCAGCGGGGAGGAAGGUGUUGCGGUUAAUAACCGCAGCAAUUGACGUUACCCGCAGAAGAAGCACCGGCUAACUCCGUGCCAGCAGCCGCGGUAAUACGGAGGGUGCAAGCGUUAAUCGGAAUUACUGGGCGUAAAGCGCACGCAGGCGGUCUGUCAAGUCGGAUGUGAAAUCCCCGGGCUCAACCUGGGAACUGCAUUCGAAACUGGCAGGCUUGAGUCUUGUAGAGGGGGGUAGAAUUCCAGGUGUAGCGGUGAAAUGCGUAGAGAUCUGGAGGAAUACCGGUGGCGAAGGCGGCCCCCUGGACAAAGACUGACGCUCAGGUGCGAAAGCGUGGGGAGCAAACAGGAUUAGAUACCCUGGUAGUCCACGCCGUAAACGAUGUCUACUUGGAGGUUGUGCCCUUGAGGUGUGGCUUCCGGAGCUAACGCGUUAAGUAGACCGCCUGGGGAGUACGGCCGCAAGGUUAAAACUCAAAUGAAUUGACGGGGGCCCGCACAAGCGGUGGAGCAUGUGGUUUAAUUCGAUGCAACGCGAAGAACCUUACCUGGUCUUGACAUCCACAGAAGAAUCCAGAGAUGGAUUUGUGCCUUCGGGAACUGUGAGACAGGUGCUGCAUGGCUGUCGUCAGCUCGUGUUGUGAAAUGUUGGGUUAAGUCCCGCAACGAGCGCAACCCUUAUCCUUUGUUGCCAGCGGUCCGGCCGGGAACUCAAAGGAGACUGCCAGUGAUAAACUGGAGGAAGGUGGGGAUGACGUCAAGUCAUCAUGGCCCUUACGACCAGGGCUACACACGUGCUACAAUGGCGCAUACAAAGAGAAGCGACCUCGCGAGAGCAAGCGGACCUCAUAAAGUGCGUCGUAGUCCGGAUUGGAGUCUGCAACUCGACUCCAUGAAGUCGGAAUCGCUAGUAAUCGUGGAUCAGAAUGCCACGGUGAAUACGUUCCCGGGCCUUGUACACACCGCCCGUCACACCAUGGGAGUGGGUUGCAAAAGAAGUAGGUAGCUUAACCUUCGGGAGGGCGCUUACCACUUUGUGAUUCAUGACUGGGGUGAAGUCGUAACAAGGUAACCGUAGGGGAACCUGCGGUUG